GGCGGACGGGUGCGUAACGCGUGGGAAUCUACCUUGUAGUGGGGGAUAGCCCGAAGAAAUUCGGAUUAAUACCGCAUAAUCUCUACGGAGCAAAGUGGGGGAUCUUCGGACCUCACGCUAUUAGAUGAGCCCGCGUUGGAUUAGCUUGUUGGUGGGGUAAAGGCCUACCAAGGCGACGAUCCAUAGCUGGUUUGAGAGGAUGAUCAGCCACACUGGGACUGAGACACGGCCCAG
rnacentral:rRNA from 1 species